AACAUAUUAUGUGCAGGUAAAUCUAUGGUUUUCUUAUUUUCAUGCCUGGUGACCCCUGUGCUUAUGCUGAAACUGUUGGAUUAGCUGGACAACUGCUGCAGCUGUGUACAGUCUUUUCUAGACCCUGCUAAUUUGCAUGUGCCCAGUCACAGCCACUGCUCCAGGGAGUCUAAAUAGGUUGGUCACACCCUGUGAAGCUGUCAUUCACAGUCAAGUCACAGCAUCACAAUGAGGUGUCCUGCUCAAAUCCUUGGACUGUUGUUCUGGUUUUCAGGUAUUAGAUGUGAUAUACAAAUUACUCAGUCUCCAUCCGUGGUGUCUGCAUCUGUGGGAGAUAGUGUCACCAUCAAUUGCAAGGCCAGUCAGAACAUUGGUAGUUGGUUAGCUUGGUAUCAGCAGAAACCAGGGGAUGCUCCUAAACUCCUGAUCUACUAUGCAUCCAAGCUGGAAACGGGGAUCCCAUCAAGGUUCAGUGGCAGUGGAUCUGGUACAGAUUUCACUCUCACCAUCAGUAGCCUGUUGAUGGAAGACGUUGCAGCAUAUUAUUGUCAGCAGUAUGAUACCUCUCCUCCCACAGUGAUACAGUUAAUAACAUAA